rnacentral:rRNA from 1 species
UAGGUGGGCGGGACGGGUGAGUAACGCGUGGGUAACCUGCCUCAUACAGGGGGAUAACAGUUAGAAAUGACUGCUAAUACCGCAUAAGACCACAGCACCGCAUGGUGCAGGGGUAAAAACUCCGGUGGUAUGAGAUGGACCCGCGUCUGAUUAGGUAGUUGGUGGGGUAACGGCCUACCAAGCCGACGAUCAGUAGCCGACCUGAGAGGGUGACCGGCCACAUUGGGACUGAGACACGGUCCAA